rnacentral:rRNA from 1 species
GACGAACGCGGCGGCGUGCCAAUACAUGCAAGUAGAAGAUGAAGGAAGGAGCAUGCUCUUCCGGAUGAGUUGCGAACGGGUGAGUAACGCGUAGGUAACCUGCCUGGUAGCGGGAGAUAACUAUUGGAAACGAUAGCUAAUACCGCAUAAUAGUAGAUAUCGCAUGAUAACUACUUGAAAGGUGCAAUUGCACCACUACCAGAAGGAUCUGCGUUGUAUUAGCUAGUUGGUGAGGUAACGGCUCACCAAGGCAACGAUACAUAGCCGACCUGAGAGGGUGAUCGGCCACACUGGGACUGAGACACGGCCCAGACUCCUACGGGAGGCAGCAGUAGGGAAUCUUCGGCAAUGGACGGAAGUCUGACCGAGCAACGCCGCGUGAGUGAAGAAGGUUUUCGGAUCGUAAAGCUCUGUUGUAAGAGAAGAACGAGUGUGAGAGUGGAAAGUUCACACUGUGACGGUAUCUUACCAGAAAGGGACGGCUAACUACGUGCCAGCAGCCGCGGUAAUACGUAGGUCCCGAGCGUUGUCCGGAUUUAUUGGGCGUAAAGCGAGCGCAGGCGGUUAGAUAAGUCUGAAGUUAAAGGCUGUGGCUUAACCAUAGUACGCUUUGGAAACUGUUUAACUUGAGUGCAAGAGGGGAGAGUGGAAUUCCAUGUGUAGCGGUGAAAUGCGUAGAUAUAUGGAGGAACACCGGUGGCGAAAGCGGCUCUCUGGCUUGUAACUGACGCUGAGGCUCGAAAGCGUGGGGAGCAAACAGG